rnacentral:rRNA from 1 species
UACGAAGGUCCCAAGCGUUGUUCGGAAUCACUGGGCGUAAAGGGUGCGUAGGCGGGUCUUUAAGUCAGGGGUGAAAUCCUGGAGCUCAACUCCAGAACUGCCUUUGAUACUGAGGAUCUUGAGUUCGGGAGAGGUGAGUGGAACUGCGAGUGUAGAGGUGAAAUUCGUAGAUAUUCGCAAGAACACCAGUGGCGAAGGCGGCUCACUGGCCCGAUACUGACGCUGAGGCACGAAAGCGUGGGGAGCAAACAGG